rnacentral:rRNA from 1 species
UACGUAGGGGGCAAGCGUUGUCCGGAAUCAUUGGGCGUAAAGCGCGUGUAGGCGGCCCGAUAAGUCCGCUGUGAAAGUCCAGGGCUCAACCCUGGAAUGCCGGUGGAAACUGUCGGGCUGGAGUCCGGAAGAGGCGAGUGGAAUUCCUGGUGUAGCGGUGAAAUGCGCAGAUAUCAGGAGGAACACCAAUGGCGAAGGCAGCUCGCUGGGACGGUACUGACGCUGAGACGCGAAAGCGUGGGGAGCAAACAGG